rnacentral:rRNA from 1 species
UACGUAGGCAGCAAGCGUUGUUCGGAAUUACUGGGCGUAAAGAGUGUGUAGGCGGUGCUCUAAGUCUGUUGUGAAAUCUCCCGGCUUAACUGGGAGGGUGCGGCGGAGACUGGAGUGCUAGAGUGUGGGAGAGGUAAGCGGAAUUCCUGGUGUAGAGGUGAAAUUCGUAGAUAUCGGGAGGAACACCGGUGGCGAAGGCGGCGACCUGGGUCGAUACUGACGCUGAGGUGCGAAAGCGUGGGGAGCAAACAGG